rnacentral:rRNA from 1 species
AUGGGCCCGCUUCCAAGUGCGUCUGCACGCCGGCCACUCACACCGGGUCCUUCAAGUGCCGCUUCCAUCGCACCAACUCCCAGGGCCACGGCCACGGUCAGGGCCAGGGAAGCCGCCCUUCUUCGCCCCCUUCACCGGUCGCGGCUAACGCGGUGCCGCGGCACCCGGCCUCGCCGUCCUCGUCCUCCGGCACCGUCGCGACCCAGUGACGCAGCCCAAGCAUCGGUCUCGAGAAUCAAGAACGCUCGACAACGGAGAGGGGAGGGAAGAUCAUAUACAUGUCAUAAGAAAGAGAGUUUAUUUACCGCUUCCUCUAUGUAUUGUUUCCUUUGUUUGGAGAUUGAUUACCAUCCGUGA